rnacentral:rRNA from 1 species
CAUCGUAUAAAAGUGCGAUUGAAAAAAGAAAUUGUAACGAUGGGAGUUGAAGGGAUUAACCCGCUGAAAGCUGUUGGUACUUAUGUUGCUCCUGAAGAUUGGAAUGCUCUGAUUCAGGAUGAAGAGACCCUUGUUGUUGAUACGCGUAAUGAUUAUGAAUAUAUGCUGGGUAGUUUUCAAGGGGCGGUAGAUCCUAAUAUUAAAACAUUUCGUGAAUUUCCUCAAUGGGUCGCCAAUCAUCAAGAUGAGCUUAAGAAGAAAAAAAGAAUCGCAAUGUUUUGCACGGGUGGUAUUCGGUGUGAAAAAUCAACGUCUUAUAUGCGUGAGCUUGGUUAUGAGGAGGUUUACCACCUAAAGGGUGGUAUUCUUCAAUAUUUGGAAACAAUUCCAAAAGAAGAAAGUUUGUGGCAGGGCGAGUGCUUUGUUUUUGAUGAGCGUGUUUCUGUUGGGCAUGGUCUUGAGGAAUCUGGACGCGAAUUAUGCCGGGCAUGUCGCUAUCCUCUUGGUGCUGAGGGUAAAUUAUCCCCUCAUUAUGAAGAAGGGGUGUCUUGUGAUGCGUGUUAUGAUACGCGUAGUGAAUUUGAUAAACAGCGUUUUCGGGAACGUCAUAGGCAGUUUCAAUUAGCAAAAGCUCGCGCCAUGAACUCUCAUCAAGGGCUGUAAGGGCACUAAGCUAUAAGAUACCAUUUGGGAUGUUCCUUCUAUUUUAAAGAGGGAAGUAUUUUCAUAAAAUAUUUUUUAUUAUUUUUCAUAGAAAAAUAGAGAAGUAAGUUAAGCUACUAGUAUGUGUGGAGCAAUGUUGCUUUUUUGCAGUUAUUUUUGGCUGAAAGAUUAAAAAAAUCUUAAAAUUAAAAAAAAGAUUGCAAUGAAUUGAAAUUCAUCUUAUACGCAGCAUUGCCCAAAGUCGCACGUGCCUGUGGGUGUCCGCUGGUUCCCAAAUGGUGGGAUUGACCGGUACGGUACCUGGAACUAACCGCUCCAGUCAUUCUUGCGGCCAAUCGAAAGAAUGAGGACAUCUUGAAGCAACGACGGUGCGGGCCUUUCUGGUGUCUUUCAGCUAUAGAUGCUGAGAUAACUAAAGAGGCACACCUCAUUGCCUUCAGUGCGGAAGUGUUUUGUGCAACUCCAAUCAAAAAGGCAGACAAAGUAGAGUAACGCGAUUUUCGCGCUAUUCCUUCGUGGCAUACAAUACCGUUAUUCCUGACGUUAUGGAGUAGGAGUGGUGGUUGUAUGUAUUUGUCCUUUAGCCAUGAGCAGCUUUAUGCUGCUGAAUUGGCAUAGAGUAGAAAACUUUUGUUUUCUGGGGAGGAUUGCAAAUGGCAACGCAACGUAUUCGUGAUUUUCUUUCAACACAUCGUUCUGAAGGUCCGUGUUUGGUUGUGGACCUUGAUGUUGUCCAUGAGAAUUAUUUGAAUUUUGAAAAAGCUCUUCCACAGUCGCGCAUUUUUUAUGCGGUGAAGGCAAAUCCCGCACCUGAAAUUUUGCGCUUGCUUGUUUCUUUAGGAUCAUCUUUUGAUGCAGCUUCUGUUGCAGAAAUUAAAAUGGCUUUAGAAUCAGGUGCAACGGCUGAGCGUAUCUCUUUUGGGAAUACCAUUAAGAAGGAGCGUGAUAUUGCCUCUGCACAUGCACUUGGUGUCUCGCUUUAUGCCGUUGAUUGCAUUGAAGAAGUGGAAAAAGUAGCUCGUGCUGCACCGGGAGCUCGCGUAUUUUGCCGAGUUCUUACCAAUGGGGAAGGAGCCGAGUGGCCAUUAUCACGUAAAUUUGGCUGCGUUCCUGCUAUGGCAGUUGAUGUAUUGUGUCGGGCGCACCAAUUGGGUUUGCAGGCACAUGGAGUUUCCUUUCAUGUAGGAUCACAGCAGACAGACCUGAAUGCAUGGGAUCGUGCUCUCUCAGAUGUGGCUAUAGUUUUUGAGAGCUUGGAAAAAGAAGGAAUUCAGUUGAAAUUAAUCAAUAUGGGAGGAGGAUUUCCAACACGUUAUUUACAUGAUGUUCCUAAUGCACAAGUUUGUGGUGUUGUUAUUUUUGAUUCAUUAAAAAAAUAUUUUGGCAAUCGUAUACCUGAAACAAUUAUAGAACCAGGGCGUGCAAUGGUUGGUAAUGCUGGGGUUAUUCGCACAGAAGUUGUCCUGAUAUCUAAAAAAGCGGAUAAUGAUAAUGUACGCUGGGUUUAUCUUGAUGUGGGUAAAUUUAAUGGCCUUGCUGAAACUAUGGAUGAAGCCAUUCGUUAUCCCAUUGAGACAAUGCGUGAUGAUAAAGCAAUGGAGCCUUGUAUUUUAGCGGGGCCUACGUGUGAUUCGGCAGAUGUUAUGUAUGAAAAAUCACUUUAUCUGUUGCCUCUAUCUUUAACAGUGGGUGAUGAAUUGUUAAUUCAUGGGACCGGCGCUUAUACAGCAACUUAUGCAUCUGUUGCUUUUAAUGGUUUUGAACCUCUACGAUCUUAUGUAAUUUAAAUUUUUCUCGUAACAAUGGGGUACGCCAUUAUUUCCAAUGGUGAAAGAUAUUGCAUGCACUUAAAACAGAAAAAACUGAGUUUAUAGAGCUAUUUUGUUUGUAAGUGAUUUUUAAACACAGCUUAGUUAUUAAGAUACUUGGGGCAGGUUCUAAUUUUGUAAACAUUGUCUCCAAGUUUAAGAACUGAUCUUACAGAAUUCUGAUUCUAUAUUGUUGCAUUGCUCUCAUCCUAUAAUUGCAUUGCGUGUGACAUGCAGGGAAAUCUGCAGUAUUUUUAUGUCAUAAGGUCAUAAGGUCAUAAGGUCAUAAGGGAGAUGAGGGUGUCAUCUGUUAGUGCACGAGAUAGGUCUUUUGUUGAUUCCCAUGGAAGCUGAAGCUGUAUGAUCACCUAUUGAUGAUAGGUGAUCGUGAAAAUUCUCUAAUUUGCACAGAGAAAGAUAUAGCUAUAACCCUUAACAACGUAUUGCUUACAUUGUAACUUUUCUCAUAGAGUAGGCCUAUGUAAUCAAUGUGAAAAGGGGUUUCUUUAUAUUUAAUGCUGUUUAAACUCAGUGCUCUGCGCGGAUAUUGGUGGAUGGCGGUAUUUUUUUGAGAAAAAAAGUUAAGAAAGUUAAGAUACUAAAGAGAAAAAAUAUCAUAAAAAAGAGAUCACUAAAAGCCAUGACUGCAGCUUGUGUGUAAACCAUAUUAAAAAGUUGAACUAAAGCAAGAGCUUGUGGAUCAAAAGUAGAAAAGCUGAAAAGUUUAGUAAAGCUUGCAAGUGUUUCAGUCGCUUGGAUAUUUCCAGGUUGGACGGCUUCAGCUAUGCGUUCAUAAUGGAGAUUAGUCCGUUGUGUUAUAAGAGUGCUAAUAAUAGCAAGGCCUACUGCACCGCCAAGAUUUCGCAUUAAAUUAAAAAUCCCAGAAGCAUUUUUCAUCCGUUCUGGUGAUAAGGAUCCAAAAGCAAUGUUAUUGAUAGGAACCAUGCAUAACAUCAUAGAACUACCGCGAAGAAUUUGAGGCCACAAAAGUUCCCAGAAUCCCCAAUCAUCUGUGAUUGAGGUAGCAAGCCAAGUUCCCCAUGCAAAGCCAGCAAAUCCUACAGCUAUCAUAAUACGUGGAUCGAUUCGUGCUGAAAGAAAUCCAGAAAGAGGAGCAGUAAAAAACAUAGCCAAACCUGAAAUAAACAGCGUUUUUCCAAUCAUGAGUGCAUCAUAAUGACGAAUUUGACUUAAAUAGACAGGAUAUAAAUAAGUAAGGCCAUAGAGGCCUAUUCCAAGCAUAAAGGCAAAUAUAGUAGAGAUUGAAAAAUUAAAAUUGGAAAAAGCAGUAAGAUCAACAAUUGGUUCUUUUACAUUAAAAACACGCCAAAAGAAUACACUAGCAGAUAAAACCAUAAUAAUAAAAAAGCUAAAUACUAAAUUAUCAUUGAACCAAUCACGAUGUGCUCCCUCUUCUAAAACAUAUUCUAAAGAUCCCAGGAAGAGUGCCAUAGAAAUAAGUCCCCACCAGUCAAAUUUAGCCAAUAGAGACGGAUCUGCUUUAUCAAAAUCAAUCAAUUUCCAAGCUAAAAUUGAAAUAAUGAUUCCAAAGGGUACAUUGAUAAGAAAGAGCCAAUGCCAUGAUAAGGCGUGGCUGACAUAUCCUCCCACUGUUGGACCAAUGGUGGGUGCUAAUGUUGCAACCAGUCCAAUGAUCGGUGAAAUAAUUGGACGUUUCGAAGGAGGAAACAUGAUAUAGGAAGCAACAAAAACACAAGGAAUAAUGCCUCCACCGAUAAAGCCUUGGAGUGCUCGAUAAACAAUCAUCUGUUCAAUAGAUGUUGCUGUUGCACACAAGCAUUGAAUUGAAGCCCCAGUAAACGGCGGCCGUAACUAUAACGGUCCUAAGGUAGCGAAAUUCCUUGUCGGGUAAGUUCCGACCUGCACGAAUGGCGUAACGACUUCCCCGCUGUCUCCAACGUAGACUCAGUGAAAUUGAAUUCCCCGUGAAGAUGCGGGGUUCCUGCGGUUAGACGGAAAGACCCCGUGCACCUUUACUAUAGCUUUACACUGGCAUUUGUGUCGGCAUGUGUAGGAUAGGUGGUAGACUUUGAAGCAGGGGCGCUAGCCCUUGUGGAGUCAUCCUUGAAAUACCACCCUUACCGACAUGGAUGUCUAACUGCAGUCCGUUAUCCGGAUUCAAGACAGUGUAUGGUGGGUAGUUUGACUGGGGCGGUCGCCUCCUAAAGAGUAACGGAGGCGCGCGAAGGUAGGCUCAGAACGGUCGGAAAUCGUUUGUUGAGUGCAAUGGCAUAAGCCUGCCUGACUGUGAGACUGACAAGUCGAGCAGAGUCGAAAGACGGUCAUAGUGAUCCGGUGGUCCCGUGUGGAAGGGCCAUCGCUCAACGGAUAAAAGGUACGCCGGGGAUAACAGGCUGAUGACCCCCAAGAGUCCAUAUCGACGGGGUUGUUUGGCACCUCGAUGUCGACUCAUCGCAUCCUGGGGCUGGAGCAGGUCCCAAGGGUAUGGCUGUUCGCCAUUUAAAGCGGUACGUGAGUUGGGUUCAGAACGUCGUGAGACAGUUCGGUCCCUAUCUGCCGUGGGUGUAGGAAUAUUGACAGGAUCUGUCCCUAGUACGAGAGGACCGGGAUGGACGUAUCUCUGGUGGACCUGUUGUGGCGCCAGCCGCAUAGCAGGGUAGCUAUAUACGGACGGGAUAACCGCUGAAGGCAUCUAAGCGGGAAACCCACCUGAAAACGAGUAUUCCCUUGAGAACCGUGGUAGACCACCACGUUGAUAGGUCAGGCGUGGAAGUGUGGUAACACAUGAAGCUUACUGAUACUAAUAGUUCGAUUGGCUUGAUCGU